rnacentral:lncRNA from 1 species
GUGGUUAGCACGUGCUCUUUCCCCUUCUUCUGGUAUUUACAAAGUCAAGAGCCCUGUAAAAGUUUGGUUUCCCGUGCACUCACGCUUGUCCAUUUUCAAAUUUAUUCAUUUACAAUUCUGGAGAUCCAAACACAUACAGUAUUCUAUUCAUAAUUAAAAUCUUCACCAUUUUUCCAGGUAUGUUUCUUCUCAUUUCUAACAUUUUAAAUUUUGUUUAAUCUUUUUUUGUUGUUUCAUUUGCUAAACUUUUGCUCAUCUUAUUUGCUAUUUCAAGGAAUGCAUUUUGAUAUUUUUGAAGUGAGUGAAGUUUACUAAAUGAGAAGGCUCAAGAGAAGACAGCAUCAUAUGAAAAAACAUGCAGACAACAACGGAAGGUUUUGUGGGAUGAUGACAUGAAAGAGGCAAGCUUCAGCAGAGUCAGCACUUGGAAUCGCUGCAGUCUUGGACAGGAGACACAAGGUGCAAGAGUGCAGAAAGAUGAGAUUGUCCUCCUGUUCUUCUCAACCCAGCAAGGCUUCCUUGCCAAAGCCUAUACUGGUUACCUCUCAACUUGUGAAGGCAGGGCAUUGUUGAAUCACAUUCCUGUAGUCUUGUUUCAACCACACCCUUGCUGUUACUUGUAGGUUGGAAUGCAGAAGCUCUAGUAGAUGGCUCAGUAGAGGCAAAGUGUCUGCUUGAGGCCAGUGGACAAGACAGAACAACACCAGUAAAUUAGGACUGCACAGUUUUAACACUUAUAAGACCUGGAGAAAAUAAUAUGAGUUAGUGAAGUGAAUUGGACAUAACUUUCCUAUGUUCAUAUAUGAAUACAUGCCACUGUAAAUCUCCACAUCAUGUAUAACCACAAGAAUGGGAUCCUAAUUAGAAUAAGUUAUAUAUAUAAGUAUGUAUAAUAUGUCAAAAGAUACUCUACUGUCAUGUGUAUCUAAAAAGAACAAAUAAAAAUUUCAA